GAUUUACAGCUACAAAGGAUCUCAGGGAUUGUCCACUCCAGGUGUCUAAUUUUACAGAAGAUGAAAUUCAGUCCCAGGGAGGAAGGGAGUCACAGAAAAUCACAUGAGGCUGAACCUGGAUCCUCCAGCUCAGAACCAGUAUUCGUUCAACUAUGCCAUCCUUCCCUCGAUCAGACUGAGGUCCCAUCCCAACUCUGAGGGGACAGUUACGAGAAAACUUGGCUGCCCUGCCUCAUCUGGAAAUCAUCGUUGGAUAAGCAUCUCUCUGGGGAUAAAACGUCAGUGUGUCCAGAAUCUGUGCCUUCAUUGAUGUGAACAUUCCCCCCAUUUCUACAAAUGGCCUUUGACACCCCUGGAGAAUUGUUGUGGCCAAAAAACUCAUCUUUCUGUGGACAGCUCUGGAGUGGGCUAGACUGAAGAUCAAAUCACAGAAUUCCAUCUCUCCCUGACCUAGAACAUUUCUGUGAGAAGGGACUCACAAAACCUCAGAUUCGAAGUUGGUUUAAGCCUCCUUGGCCUCCACGUCAAGACCAAGCCUGGGGAAAAACUCCAAUAUGAGAACUUUAGCCCCUCCCAAGGCAGCCUGUUCCAUUUUUGCAUAGCUCAACUUGUUGGCAAAGCUUGUAGACAUUGAACCUAAGUUUUCCUCUUGGGAAGUUCUUUCAUUCCUUCCCCACUCUGGGACCAAAGAGAACCAGUUGAAUCCCUCCUCCACAUGGCAGCCUUUCAAUUGCUAUGACAUCUCCCCCACUCACCCCAGGCUUCUCUUCUCUUCUCUAGCCCCCCACACCUCCCAGAGGGCUUCCGAUGCUAUGGUCUUGAGGCCAUUCGUCAUUCUGGUCACCACACUCUUGACAUGCUCUGGUUGUCCACUUCCUUCCUAAAGAGAGACGUUUGUUCAGGAGCGGGUGAAAGAGUCUUCGUGGAAUGGGACAGAGUACCAACUUCUGGGGCGACGUGGAGAGGCCUCAUGGAGGAGGAAGCAGCUGAGCUGAGUCACAAAGGAACGAAGGGAUGCCAAGAGGCAGAGGGGAGGGGAAAAGGCACUCCUGGCAUGGGGAGAGAAACACGGAAAAGGAUGGAGACAGGCGAUGGGACAGAAGGUGUGUUAUACAGCCAAAAGGCCAGUUUGGGGAAAGAUAGCACACGAGAGGGAAUCGGGCUGGAAGGAUGGGUGGAAGCCCAAGCAGAGAUGUUUGUCCCCAGGGCAACGGGAAGUUUCUUUGAGAUGGAGAGUGAUGUGAAGGUCUCUCUUUUCCAUGGGAUCAAACAGACUGGACCCCUUUAACAAAUGGCAGCAGCCAUUGGUACCAACUCAAUGACAAGGGAGUAAGAGGAAGGUGGGCCCACUAGGGCCAAUUUAUGGAAGAGCAUGGGUGAGAGCUCUUUAUUAGCUGUGUGAUCCUGGGGAAGUCACUUAAUCCUGUGGGCCUCCAUUUUCUUAUCUAUAAAAUGAUCUGGAGAAGACAGUGGCAAAGCAGUCCAGUCUCUUUGCCAAGAAAAUACCAAACGAGGAUACCCAGAGUUGAACACAACUGAAAAAUGCCUGCGACCAAAAUGGGCAAGAGUCACGUAGAGUGAGCCUCAAUCUGUACUGCUGAAGGAGACACCCAUAGCAUGAACAAGACUGGUGAGGGUGGGCAAGAAGCCUGGAUGGGCUGUGAUGGGCACCAUUGGAGGGCAUGUCCACAUUGGGAGAUCCCAGGGCCAUCGAUGCACUUCAGUAAAGUCACUGCUGCGAUCAGUGAUCUCCUUCCCCAACUCCCCUCUUUCCCCUAGAUUUGUGACUUCCUUGGCCAGGAGCUCUCCAAGCAGCCCCCAGGAUUUCAGAAAUCCCCCAUAAAGUCCAAGCCACCUCUCCAAAGGUUCCUAUUAGCCCUCUGGGGGUUCAGUCUGUUAUAUCUGAUCCCAAAUCUGCCAACUCUCUUAUUUUCAGUCUGUAACAAGACUGUAUGAGCAACGAGGAUUUUAGAACUAGAAGGGGUGUAGAGGUUACCUAUUCAAACACAUUCAUUUCACAACCAGAGAAACAGAAAUAAGAAGUGACUCAUGCAAGGCCACUCAGCUGGCUGAGCUAGGCUUCUAACUCUGAAGGUAGCCAUGCCCUUUCCCAUCCCCCUUGGGUCUUCCAUCCCCACUCCCCUCUGAUGAAGAAGUGAUGGAGGGAAAAGAGCACUAGCCUUGGAGUCCAAGGAUGACUCUUCAAACCUUGCUUUCCUCAUGAGUAAAAUAGGGAUAAUGAUGCCUUUUUAGUCCCUCCAAAUAGGAACAGAAAAGCAAAUAGUGUAAAUAAGUGACUUUUAUAGUUUGCAAAGGACUUUACUCAUGCUAGAGAGGCAGCAUCAUAAAGUGUUAAGGAUGCUGGAGACAUGGGUUCAAAUCCCAGCUCUGCUACUUACUUACUCUCUGGGACUUUGCUAAUUGGAAAGAACAUGGUGCUCUGGAGUCAAAGGUCCUAGGUUCAAACUUAAAUAUGAUACUUAUUGUGUGACCUUAGACAAGCUGCUUACCCUCAGUUUCACCAUCUGUAAAAUGAGGUGUUGAAUUAGAUAACCUCUAAGGUCUCUUCUAAAUUCUAGGUCUAUAGAACCUUGUCAUCUGUUCUUCACAAAACCCCUAUAAAGUAGGUACUAGAGAUGUUAUUUAAAGAUGGGGAAACGAAGGCUCACAGAAACUGAAUGACUUGGCCAGGGUUACAAAGAGUCCUCUAUCACGAUUGACUCUUUUCUCAUUUCUCUGAGAUAUCUCAUAUAUUCUGUCUUAGCUCUUAGCCUCCAUCCCAACCCUGGAUUACUCUGAGGACAUUUCAUAUUCCAUAGGACCUCCAGUCUCUCGGAGGGAAGCUUCUCCCCGAGGAAUUCAUUUAAAAAGAGAAUUGCCUAAAAGCAUAACUUGUGAUCCACUUGAUGACAAAAACUGACACCAUGGUGUGCCCAGAAUCUCUCAGAUUCAAGUAGCCAUUAUUUUGACAAUGCUUGGAGAUGAAGACUUUUUUUCUGUUUCUUCUAAUAAUGAAAAGACAAAUGUCUUCCCUGUGAACUCAUGAAGGAAAUCGUUUAAUGAGCCAAUUCAAUCUAGAGCCCAAAAUAAUGAUCUUCCCAAACAGGAAGAAUUGUGUUGACUGUUUAUGGACUGUUGGGAACGCCUUUGGGAGUUUUCUGUAUUUGUUAGCAGAUGCCUGUGCUGUCUGCUUUUUCUGUGGGAUAAAAUAAAGGUUGCACUAUUUGCA
ensembl:lncRNA